rnacentral:rRNA from 1 species
AUUGAACGCUGGCGGCAGGCCUAACACAUGCAAGUCGAGCGGAUGAAGGGAGCUCGCUCCUGGAUUCAGCGGCGGACGGGUGAGUAAUGCCUAGGAAUCUGCCUGGGAGUGGGGGAUAACGUCCGGAAAUGGGCGCUAAUACCGCAUACGGCCUGAGGGAGAAAGUGGGGGAACCUCGGACCUUACGCUAUCAGAUGAGCCUAGGUCGGAUUAGCUAGUUGGUGGGGUAAAGGCCUACCAAGGCGACGAUCCGUAACUGGUCUGAGAGGAUGAUCAGUCACACUGGAACUGAGACACGGUCCAGACUCCUACGGGAGGCAGCAGUGGGGAAUAUUGGACAAUGGGCGAAAGCCUGAUCCAGCCAUGCCGCGUGUGUGAAGAAGGUCUUCGGAUUGUAAAGCGCUUUAAGUUGGGAGGAAGGGCAGUAAGUUAAUACCUUGCUGUUUUGACGUUACCAACAGAAUAAGCACCGGCUAACUUCGUG